UCAAGAUAUUAAGAGUUUACGGUGGAUGCCUUGGCACCAGGAGUCGAUGAAGGACGUGGACGGCUGCGAUAAGCCGCGGUUAGGCGCUGAACAGCCUUUGACCCGCGGAUUUCCGAAUGGGGAAACCCGACGCCGGUAAUGCGGCGUCAUCCAACGAUGAAUAAAUAGUCGUUGGAAGGGAACCGGGCGAACUGAAACAUCUAAGUAGCCCGAGGAAAAGAAAUCAACCGAGACUCCCUGAGUAGUGGCGAGCGAAAAGGGAUCAGCCCAAACCCAACAGGUGUAAGUGGGCACACGUUGCCUGUUGGGGGUUGUAGGACGUUAUGCCCGAGCCGUGCCUGGCUCGGCGACAGUUACAAAAUCAGGUGUUAACCGAAGCGAGUGGAACCUCGCACCACAGAGGGCAAUCGUCCCGUAGGUGAAAACAUUCUGAUCUGUCGAUUGGCGUUCCUGAGUAAGACCGCACACGUGAAACGCGGUCUGAAUCUGGGGGGACCACCCUCCAAGGCUAAGUACUACCUGGUGACCGAUAGUGAACUAGUACCGUGAGGGAAAGGUGAAAAGCACCCCUGAAGGGGAGUGAAAUAGUACCUGAAACCGUAGACUUACAAGUGGUCGGAGCACCUUCGGGUGUGACGGCGUGCUUUUUGCAUCACGAGCCGGCGAGUUACUCGUCAGUGGCAAGGUUAAGCGAUGAGCGGAGCCGUAGCGAAAGCGAGUCUGAAUAGGGCGAUUUAGUCACUGGCGGUAGACCCGAAACUGAGCGAGCUAUCCAUGGGCAGGCUGAAGCGGGGGUAAGACCUCGUGGAGGGCCGAACCGACCUAGGUUGAAAACUGGGCGGAUGACCUGUGGAUCGGAGUGAAAGGCUAAUCAAGCUCAGAGAUAUCUGGUUCUCUCCGAAAUAUAUUUAGGUAUAGCGUCGAGCAAUUGCGUUUCGGCCGUAGAGCACUGUUUGGAUUAGGGGCCCUACCAGGUUACCGACUUCAGGCAAACUCCGAAGACCGUUACGGUUAUCUCGGCAGUCAGUGUGCGGGGGAUAAACUUCGUACGCGAGAGGGAAACAACCCAGACCAUCAGCUAAGGACCCUAAGUACUAGCUAAGUGGCAAACGAUGUCCGAAUGCAGAGACAACCAAGAGGUUGGCUUAGAAGCAGCCACCCUUGAAAGAGUGCGUAACAGCUCACUGGUCAAGUGUUCGGGCGCGGAUAAUUCAACGGGGCUCAAGCUAGUCUCCGAAGCUAUGGGUGUGCAGGCCUGCGGGCUCUGUACGCGGUAGGAGAGCGUUCCAAUUGCGUGAAGCGGCGUCGUAAGGCUCCGUGGAGCGAUUGGAAGUGAGAAUGCCGGCAUGAGUAACGAAAGUGGGGUGAGACUCCCCACCACCGAUUGUCCAAGGUUUCCUGAGUAAAGUUCGUCUGCUCAGGGUUAGUCGGGACCUAAGGCGAGGCCGAAAGGCGUAGUCGAUGGCCAACAGGUUGAUAUUCCUGUACCACGUCGUUUCCGUUAUGACCGAUGGGGGGACGGGGAAGGAUAAGGGAACCCAGGCGAUGGUAGUCCUGGGGCAAGCACGUAGCUAGUCGCUGUAGGGAAAUCCGCAGCGGCGUUUUGACGCGAGGUGCGAUGCCAGCUGGCUUGACCGCCGGCCAGUCCCCGAUUCCAUGCCUCCAAGAAAAGCCUCUAGGCAGGAUUCGCGUGCCCGUACCGAUAACCGACACAGGUGGACAAGUAGAACAUACUAAGGUGAGCGAGCUAACUCUCGUUAAGGAACUCGGCAAAAUCGUCCCGUAACUUCGGGAGAAGGGACGCCCCGUUAGUGUGAACUCCAUCCGGAGGAAGCACGAGGGGGCCGCAGUGAAUUGGUCCAACCGACUGUUUACCAAAAACACAGGCCUCUGCUAAGUCGUAAGACGACGUAUAGGGGCUGACGCCUGCCCGGUGCCGGAAGGUUACGCGGACUUGUUAGCCCUUCGGUGCGAAGCAGCGAAGCUAAGCCCCGGUAAACGGCGGCCGUAACUAUAACGGUCCUAAGGUAGCGAAAUUCCUUGUCGGGUAAGUUCCGACCUGCACGAA
rnacentral:rRNA from 1 species